AACAAAUAAUUUUGAAUGUCUUGAAAAUGCUGGCCUUUUCAUAUGUAUUCACCUACGAUUAUCAUUUCAAAUGUCCUUUCUAUAAAUAGAGUUGAGUCAUCAUCUAUUUGAAUAUUCGGUGUACGAGGCUGUGCCCUAACACCAUACUGCGUUUGUUGAAAAGGUUGCUCCGUGACUCGUACAUACCCUCAAUUCUCCUAGAGCAUUUAGACUGAAUAUUUAUGUCUACGUUGGGGGUUCCGUUUGUAAGGCA
rnacentral:lncRNA from 1 species